GUUUGAUCCUGGCUCAGGACGAACGCUGGCGGCGUGCCUAACACAUGCAAGUCGAGCGGAGACAGUGAGUAGCUUGCUAUGAGCUGUUUUAGCGGCGGACGGGUGAGUAACGCGUGAGCAACCUUUCCCAGACAGGGGAAUAACACACCGAAAGGUGUACUAAUACCGCAUAAGACCACGGGAUCACAUGGUUCUGGGGUAAAAGAUUUAUCGGUUUGGGGUGGGCUCGCGUCCGAUUAGGUAGUUGGUGAGGUAACGGCCCACCAAGCCGACGAUCGGUAGCCGACCUGAGAGGGUGAUCGGCCACAUUGGGACUGAGACACGGCCCAAACUCCUACGGGAGGCAGCAGUGGGGAAUAUUGGGCAAUGGGGGGAACCCUGACCCAGCAACGCCGCGUGGAGGAAGAAGGUUUUCGGAUCGUAAACUCCUGUCCUUGGAGACGAGUAGAAGACGGUAUCCAAGGAGGAAGCCCCGGCUAACUACGUGCCAGCAGCCGCGGUAAUACGUAGGGGGCGAGCGUUGUCCGGAAUGACUGGGCGUAAAGGGCGUGUAGGCGGCCGACUAAGUCUGAUGUGAAAUACCCGCUUUUAAGGUGGGUCGUGCAUUGGAAACUGGAUGGCUAGAGUGCGGAAGAGGUAAGUGGAAUUCCCAGUGUAGCGGUGAAAUGCGUAGAGAUUGGGAGGAACACCAGUGGCGAAGGCGACUUACUGGGCCGCAACUGACGCUGAGGCGCGAAAGCGUGGGGAGCAAACAGGAUUAGAUACCCUGGUAGUCCACGC
rnacentral:rRNA from 1 species